GGUUAUGUAGUGUAGUGGUUUGAGUGUUGUACUACAACUGUGGAGACCAAGUUUCAAAUCCCUGCUGAAUCA